GAUGAACGCUGGCGGAAUGCUUUACACAUGCAAGUCGAACGGCAGCACGGACUUCGGUCUGGUGGCGAGUGGCGAACGGGUGAGUAAUGUAUCGGAACGUGCCCAGUCGUGGGGGAUAACGUAGUGAAAAUUACGCUAAUACCGCAUACGAUCUAUGGAUGAAAGCGGGGGAUCGCAAGACCUCGCGCGAUUGGAGCGGCCGAUAUCAGAUUAGGUAGUUGGUGGGGUAAAGGCCCACCAAGCCAACGAUCUGUAGCUGGUCUGAGAGGACGACCAGCGACACUGGAACUGAGACACGGUCCAGACUCCUACGGGAGGCAGCAGUGGGGGAUUUUGGACAAUGGGCGAAAGCCUGAUCCAGCCGUUCCGCGUGCAGGAUGAAGGCCCUCGGGUUGUAAACUGCUUUUGUACAGAACGAAAAGGUUUCUACUAAUACUAGGAGCUCAUGACGGUACUGUAAGAAUAAGCACCGGCUAACUACGUGCCAGCCGCCGCUGUAA
rnacentral:rRNA from 1 species